rnacentral:rRNA from 1 species
UACGUAGGGGGCAAGCGUUGUCCGGAUUUAUUGGGCGUAAAGAGCUCGUAGGCGGUUUGUCGCGUCUGCUGUGAAAACUCGGGGCUUAACUCCGGGCCUGCAGUGGGUACGGGCAGACGUAGAGUGCGGUAGGGGAGACUGGAAUUCCUGGUGUAGCGGGUGAAAUGCGGCCAGAGUAAUCAGGAGGAACAGCCGGUGGCGGAAGGCGGGUCUCUGGGCCGUAAGCUGGACGCCUGAGGAGCGAAAGCGUGGGGAGCGAACAGGAUAGAAACCCU